rnacentral:rRNA from 1 species
GUAAUCAAAAGCUUGUUAAUUGCAAGCCUGUAUGAACGGGCAAACAUAAAUAAGCUUUCCUGACUCAAUCAUUGAAAUUAAAAAAAGCUAAAAAAACUUUUAAACCCCUAAGACGAGAAGACCCUAAAAGCUGACUUAAUGAAGUUAUUUGGGGAAAAUAUUUAUACUAGUCUUAAAAUGAAAUUUAAGGAGAACAAUAAUAAUAAGCUACUUUAGGGAUAACAGGUUAAUCUGUCUUGAUAGGUCGAAUAUAAUGACAGGUUUGAGACCUCGAUGUUGGAUUAAAGCCUCCCCUCCCUGCAGGAGGGGAGGGGGAUAAACUGUUCGUUUUUUAAAUCUUU